rnacentral:misc_RNA from 1 species
AACUUGCAGCAAUGUAUCACUUGGCUCUCGCAUCGAUUAAGGACGCAGCGAAAUGCGAUACGUAAUGGGAAUUGCAGAUUUAACAGAAUCAUCGAAUCUUUGAACGCACCUUGCACUCUUUUGUUAUUCAGAAGAGUAUGCCUGUUUGAGUGUCGCGAACCUCUCAACCCCGCCCAGGUAAUACUGGGUUGUUUGGGCUUGGAUCUUGAUCAUUGUCGGCUGUUCGUUAGAAACCGACUUGAUUUAAAUAUAUCAAGCUGAAUCAUAACAUUUGCGGCUUGACCUGACGUUGUAAAUCAACUCGUUGGGGACGCAGUGUGUGAAUGAGCUUUGUAAAUAAAUAACUUGCAGUGAUGCAGUACAUUCAGACCUCAAAUCAGGUAGGACUACCCGCUGAACUUAAGCAUAUCAAUAAGCGGAGGCU